GGGUCAGUAGCUUAAUUGGGAAAGCAUCUCACUUGCAAUGAGAAGGAUGAGGGUUCAAGUCCCUCCUGUAUCCACC
rnacentral:tRNA from 1 species